ensembl:lncRNA
ACAUUUUUUAUGGCAUAAAAGGAAAACAUGAUGGAGAGGUAGAGGUCAGGAUGGUUCUUCAACAUGGUGGAGAGGUAGAGAUCAGGAUGGUUCUUCAACAUGUAAGAGAGGUAGAGAUCAGGAUGAUUCUUCAACAUGUAAGAGAGGUAGAGGUCAGGAUGGUUCUUCAACAUGUAAGAGAGGUAGAGGUCAGGAUGGUUCUUCAACAUGUAAGAGAGGUAGAGGUCAGGAUGGUUCUUCAACAUGUAAGAGAGGUAGAGGUCAGGAUGGUUCUUCAACAUGGUGGAGAGGUAGAGAUCAGCCAGCUCUUUGUAACAUCGAUAGGUUUCGGCUACUACG